AGUUCGAUCCUGGCUCGGAAUUGAACGCUGGCGGGAUCUUUACAUGCAGAUGAACGGCAGCACGGACUUCGGUCUGGUGGCGGUGGCGAACGAUUGAGUAAUGUAUCGGAACGAUGCCUAACGGCGGGGAUAACUGCGCGGCAGCUGUACAUACGCCCUUCGAAGCAAGAGGACCUCGCGGCAACCCGAUAUCGGAUUAUGGCCGGGUAAGGUAACGGCUCACCAAGGCGACGAUCCGUAGCUGGUUUGAAGGACAUUGUCCAGCCACUGGGACUGGUGACCCGACUCUACAGGAGGUAGCAGUGGGGGAAUUUUGGACAAUGGGGAAACACAGCCAUCCCGCGAUGUGCGAUGAAGGCCUUCGGGUUGUAAAGCGCACGAGGAAAGAAACGGCACAAGGAUAAUACCCCGUGCAACUGACAAUACCUGCAAAUUAAGCACCAGCUAACUACAUUGCCACAGCAACCGCGGUAUGCAGUUAUGGCGUUAAUCCAGAUUGCUGGGUAAAGCGUGCGCAGGCGGUUCGGAAGAAGAUGUAGAAAUCCCAGAGCUUAACUUUAAGAACUGCAUUUUUAACUACCGAGUAGUGUGUGUGUCAGAGGGAGAGUGGAAUUCACGCGUGUAGUGAAAUGCGUAGAUAUGCGGAGGAACACCGAUGGCGAAGGCAGCCUCUGGGAUAACAUGACGCUCAUGCUGCAGAAAGCGUGGGAGCAAACAGGAUUAAGAUACCUGGUAGUCCACGCCUAAACGCGAUAUCAACUAGCUGAGCUACAAGGGCCUUUAAUGUUUGUGUGCUUUGCUCUGCAUGAGGGAUAACCGCCUGGGAGUACGUCGCAAAGAUUAAACUCUGAGGAAUUGUGGGAUACUACAAGCGGUGGAUGAUGUGUGGAUUAUUCAGUACGGCACCGAAAAGGAAACUGCCUACCCUUGACAUGUCGAAGGGAAUUUGGGAGUGCUCUGCAGAACCGGAACACAGGUGCUGCAUGGCUGUCGUCAGCUCGUGUCGUGAGAUGUUACUUAAGUCCGCAACGAGCGCAACCUGUCGUGGAUUGCUACGAAAGGGCACUCUAAUGAGACUGCCGGUGACAAACCGGAGGAAAGUACAGGACAACGUCAGAGUCCUCAUGGCCCAUAUAGGUAGGGCUUCACCCGUCUAUACAAUGGUCGGGACGGAGGGUCGCUAACCCGCGAGGAGGCAAUCUGAAACGCCCCGAUCGUGAUGCGGAUCGCAGUCUGCUCGACUGCGUCAGUCAGAAUCUUAAUCGCGGAUCAGCAUGUCGCGGUGAAUACGUUCCCGGGUCUUGCCCGUCACACCAUGGGAGUGGGUUUUACCAGAAGUAGUUAAGCUAACAUGCAAGGAGAGGCGUUACCACGGUAAGUUAGCGGCUGGGGUGAAGUCUCGUAACAAGGU
rnacentral:rRNA from 1 species